rnacentral:lncRNA from 1 species
UUUAAUAAAUCUCCAAAGCAAAUUUAUUUCAUAAUAGUGAUGCUUUUUAUUAAAUUUUAUGCUUGUAUUACAAUGCAUCCUGGAGUGGAGAACUAUACAGUAUGUUACAUGUUAUAAAUACAYUUCUGGAAAUACAUGAAUAUAUUUCAUAUAAUGCUGUAUUAAAAAAAUGCUAGUUCAUUCUAGUUUAAAAACCUAUACAAGAGGAAUGUAGUUAUAAAAAUACCAGUUUAUGAUAUCUCUUACAAGACUUUAAGUCCAGUUCUGCACUGAUUCACAUUCCUUACAGUCUCUGUAAAGCUGGAGGGAUAAUGGAAGGUGUAAGAUAAUGUAGGAUUUUAGCCCCUCUGUAUUCAUAGAGAUAUGCUGACUAUUCACAGAAUAAUCAAGUUAUAAAUCUCUCUAGCUUUUGAURAAGCUAGCAAGAUAUACAGUGAAUAUUUGAAUCUUGCAGCAGCUAAAACUAAUGACAGCUGAAAUACUGAACACARCACCUGCAUCAAGGUGUAACUCUGAGUCAGCACAAACUUUUUUUCUUGAGAUGUUAACAGCCAUACUGGACUUCCCUGAAAGUGUUCUGAGCAGUUGUCCAGUCAAUAGUAGCUCUUUCACCUCACGCUGUUCCUUGUUGCUGGGACUGAGAUCAAACCAACCUUCCUGCACUGGGAUAUUCUGAAUCUCAGAUUCKGCUCUCCUGGUAUGUGGACUUCAGGGGCUCCAGCUGAUCUGGGUGAGCAUAGGGGAGGCAUCUAUCACUCAAAAGCUGAGCCUGCUAAAGCUGGCCUGCUCCUGCUGGCUUCUCAAAUCUCCAUUCCCAAGUGAGUAAGAAGGGGUGGGGAGCGGGGGUGUUGAACUGUGGUUACUUGACUUUUUUUUUUAAACACAAAUCAUAGUUUAGUGGGYAGAAUAGUCUUCUAACAAAAGGCAAAGAUGGUUUGUCUAAAUUCUUACUCAUGGGUGUGAAUGCUAGUACCAAUAAGAGCUGGUGCGCAGAGACCAAAGCAGCCAUGGGACCUCUAGAAGCAUAUGCUGCUUGUAGCCUGAGUCUGAAAUUACACAGGGCAAUAAGGCAGUCACCAAACAUGGCCCUAGUGUUAUGAAGAAGCUAAGGCCCAAAAGAUCAGCCCUUAAGAGGGAAGAGAAGCAGCCUUUAAAGCAUGCAUAUGGCUGAAUAACUCCUCCUUUCAGCCUUGCUCUCCCCUGUGCUCUUUCCCAGCAGAAGAAACGCAGGUCCAGCACACACCAUCAGAUGGCCACUGCAGCCUCCAGGGGUCCUUAACUUGUAACUUAACUGGGAAUUCAAACUUGGUCCCCUGAAAGAUUAACAGGGCAGCCUGCCAGAGAGCUGGGUACGGUCUUCGAUGCACGCUCAGGUCUCUCAAUGAUUCCCAUGGUGUCCCUUGUUCUGCUUGCUGCAAUGAGCCUGCACUGAAGACAAUUUUUGCAUGGGGCAGUACUGAAGUCAAGGGGCCUUCACAGCAGAAGCACCCUUGCAGAAUUGGAAGUGAAGGGUGGAUUUGGGAAUGGCCUCUUAGGGUAUCUKUGCCUCAUAGACUUGUUCUUCUGUUGGAUGCCACCAAGCCUGCACCAUUGGCUGGGUGCAGCUCUAAGGGCAGGAGCUGCUGUAGGUGUGAGCAGAGACUGCAACUCAAACCUCCUUAGAGGGAGGAAGCUGU